rnacentral:lncRNA from 1 species
AGGGAUAAGGAAAGCAGGGCGCAAGAUCGGAUGUAGCUUUCUGGAUCUCCCCUAACCCACACUAGGGCCUUGACUUCGGUUCCAGUUCCAGAGAUGGGUUCUGUGGCGAACUCGAGUUGAAGAAGUAAAAGCCUCAAGCUUUUAGCUUGAAACAAGAAUGGAUAGAGUUGACUCAAAAGAAAGCGUGGAGCGAGGCCUUUCUAAGGUGGGACGGUUAGCUUUCAACUCAAUUCUGUUGCAGCGGCAUUAGGAGUUAGUUGCUUGCAGAGAUAACCAAAAAUCUAUGGCAUUCAAUAUCCCAGAAGGGAACCCACCUUUGAAGUGAAAUUCCCUGUUGUUUUU